rnacentral:rRNA from 1 species
UACGUGAGGGGCAAGCGUUGUCCGGAUUAUUGGGCGUAAAGAGCGUGUAGGCGGCCAGGUAGGUCGGUUUGUGGAAAACUAGGAGGCUGCAAUCCUUCCAGACGGUCGACCGAAACCAUCUGGCUAGAGUCCGGGAGAGGAGAGUGGGAAUUCCUGGUGUAGCGGUGGAAAUGACGCAGAUAUCAGGAAGAACACCCGUGGCGAAAGCGGCUCUCGUGGAACGGUACUGACGCUGAGACGCGAAAGCGUGGGGGAGCGAACAGG